rnacentral:rRNA from 1 species
UACGUAGGGUGCAAGCGUUAAUCGGAAUUACUGGGCGUAAAGCGUGCGCAGGCGGUUAUGUAAGACAGAUGUGAAAUGCCCGGGCUUAACCUGGGAACUGCAUUUGUGACUGCAUGGCUAGAGUUUGGCAGAGGGGGGUAGAAUUCCACGUGUAGCAGUGAAAUGCGUAGAUAUGUGGAGGAACACCGAUGGCGAAGGCAGCCCCCUGGGUCAAGACUGACGCUUAUGCACGAAAGCGUGGGGAGCAAACAGG